CGCUCCGGGGGCGGGCACGGUAGACGCGGGACGCUACGGAAAGCUAAGGUCAGGGUUCACGGAGGUCUCCCCACGCACGCUGUGGAGACGCCAGAUAAAGGGCAAUCCUGUUGGCUGAGGCCCAUGUCAAUCUACACGUGAUCCGCCCUUCAGAGGCCUGCCUACAACCAAAGGAGCUGAUCUCGCGAGACUUAAAAGCGACGGUUAAAGGACCGGGUAGCCAGUGGGAUGAGGAUGCCUUCAUCCGAAAAAUCUUGUUUCCUGUACGACAGUAAGAAAAAAAAGUUUACGAUUUUUAAGGCGCACAAGGCCUGGGAAUAAAACGAAUUAACAGAUGCAGCAUCAGUCCAAGAGAGCCUGGAUUACAUCAUUCCGUGGGCUGUGGGCACCAUGCCUGUGCUCCUGUCAGAAGCUGCUGCGGUCCUGAAACGCUGCACAAGGAGAAUUUGUGCCUUUUAAAUCUUGGGUUCUGGGGAUUAUGCCAGCGUUGGUUACACAGCAGGAAAAAGCCAGACCCAUGAUGUCAUUCAACAUAUCUUCUCCCAGAGACUAGAUACACUUGUGAGCUAGAUUUGGACUUUUGUACUUGCUUCAUGGGCAUAGGUGUUCUGUUUUGCUUUGUUUUGUUUUAAGCCUCAAAUUACCCCAUAUCCCAUGGCCCUGGUUUUAGUAAAUGUCCUUGUACUGUUCUGAUUUUUCAGCUUGAGGUUGUCAAUAGCAAACAAUAGUAACUUCAUAAUGAAACAAAGUGCACUGUUGUUGUUUACUGACUCAUUUUGCAUCUCACAGAAAAUGUAAUGGAUGAUAGUGACAGGCUUCUUUUCCCUGCCAUAGCUCCAGAAGAGGAGGACUUUAAUCUCAGCUAUAGAAACUGUUAGUUAACUCUUCCUGUGGAAGCUCCAGACCCCCACCAUCACUGCCAUCCCUCCCCCACCUUCCUCACCCACCCUUUAGCCCCCCCAAAAUAGGUUGUUAAUGAGAGAGCCUCUCAAUUAGGGGAAUGAAGGAUGCUCUGGUUGAUUUUUUUUUUCUGGAAUAAAUUUGAGUUAAUCUAAGAAAAAUGCUUUUUAACCAUUUAUAUUAAAAAUGACUUCAAUAAACCUGACCAAGGAGGUGAAAGAUU